CCCUUAGAUGUUCUGGGCCGCACGCGCGCUACACUGAGCCCUUCAUCGAGUUUACAACCUAGGCCGGUAGGUCUGGGUAAUCUUCUCAAAGGGGCUCGUGCUGGGGAUAGAUUAUUGUAAUUUUUAAUCUUCAACGAGGAAUUCCUAGUAAACGCAAGUCAACAGCUUGCAUUGAUACGUCCCUGCCCUUUGUACACACCGCCCGUCGCUACUACCGAUUGAAUGGCUUAGUGAGCCCGAGGGACUGUUGCACCUAGAGGGUUUUCUCUCCAGGAGCAGCCGGGAACUCGGUCAAACUUGAUCAUUUAGAGGAAGUAAAAGUCGUAACA
rnacentral:rRNA from 1 species